UACGUAGGGGGCAAGCGUUGUCCGGAUUUAUUGGGCGUAAAGAGCGUGUAGGCGGCCAUGUAGGUCCGUUGUGAAAACUCGAGGCUCAACCUCGAGACGCCGAUGGAAACCAUGUGGCUAGAGUCCGGAAGAGGAGAGUGGAAUUCCUGGUGUAGCGGUGAAAUGCGCAGAUAUCAGGAGGAACACCGAUGGCGAAGGCAGGUCUCUGGGCCACUACUGACGCUGAGAAGCGAAAGCAUGGGGGAGCGAACAGG
rnacentral:rRNA from 1 species